rnacentral:rRNA from 1 species
AUUGAACGCUGGCGGCAGGCCUAACACAUGCAAGUCGGGCGAGCGGCGGACGGGUGAGUAAUGUAUGGGGAUAUGCCUGAUGGAGGGGGAUAAUUACUGGAAACGGUAGCUAAUACCGCAUACCAUCCGAUGAACCCAUAUGGGAUUAGCCAGUAGGUGAGGUAAUGGCUCACCUAGGCGCCGAUCCCUAGCUGGUCUGAGAGGAUGACCGGCCACACUGGAACUGAGACACGGUCCAGACUCCUACGUGAGGCAGCAGUAGGGAAUCUUGCACAAUGGGCGCAAGCCUGACGCAGCCAUGCCGCGUGAUUGAAGAAGGCCUUCGGAUCGUAAAGUUCUGUUAUCAGGGAGGCGGUACUCACACAGAAAGCCCCGGCUAACUCCGUGCCAGCAGCCGCGGUAAUAC